rnacentral:rRNA from 1 species
AGCCUGCCCAAUGAGUUUUAAAUGGCCGCGGUACUUUGACCGUGCUAAGGUAGCAUAAUCAAUUGACUUUUAAAUGAAGUCUGGAAUGAAAGGAAAAACGGGAUUUAGCUGUCUCUAAUAUUUUAUUAUGAAGUUACUAAUUAAGUGAAAAGGCUUAAUUAAGAUAAAAGACGAUAAGACCCUUAGAGUUUGAAAAUAUUUUCGUUGGGGCGACGAGGAGCCAAUAUAUUAACGCUCCUAAUGAAUUAUAGGACGAUUAUUUAUGAUUAGAAAAACUACCUAAGGGAUAACAGCAUAAUCUUUUAUUAAGGUUUGUGACCUCGAUGUUGGACUAGGAAGCCUUUAGACUAGCCGUUUAAAUGGGUGAUUCUGUUCGAAUUUUUACUCCU